rnacentral:rRNA from 1 species
GAUGAAUGCUGGCGGCGUGCCUAACACAUGCAAGUCGAGCGGCAGCGAGGGGUGCUUGCACCCUGUCGGCGAGCGGCGAACGGCUGAGUAACGCGUAGGAAUUUGCCCCAAAGUGAGGAAUAACUGCCCGAAAGGGUAGCUAAUGCCGCAUAUGGUCUUCGGAUUAAAGGAUUUAUCCGCUUUGGGAGAAGCCUGCGUUGGAUUAGGUUGUUGGUAGGGUAAUGGCCUACCAAGCCGACGAUCCAUAGCUGGUCUGAGAGGAUGAUCAGCCAGACUGGAACUGAGACACGUUCCAGACUCCUACGGGAGGCAGCAGUGAGGAAUCUUCCACAAUGGGCGAGAGCCUGAUGGAGCAACGCCGCGUGAAGUAUGAAGGCCUUCGGGUUGUAAACUUCUUUUAUGAGUGAAGAAUAUGACGGUAACUCAUGAAUAAGCACCGGCUAACUACGUG